GAUAAACGCUGGCGGCGUGCAUGAGACAUGCAAGUCGAACGAAGGAUCGGGCUUGCUCGAUCCUUAGUGGCGGACGGCUGAGUAACGCGUAGGUGACCUACCCCGAAGUGGGGAAUAACUGCCCGAAAGGGUGGCUAAUACCGCAUGUGGUCGCACGUUCAUUCGUGCGAGUAAAGCCGCAAGGCGCUUCGGGAGGGGCCUGCGUCCGAUUAGCUCGUUGGUGGGGUAAUGGCUUACCAAGGCGACGAUCGGUAGGUGGGCUGAGAGGACGAUCACCCAGACUGGGACUGAGACACAGCCCAGACUCCUACGGGAGGCAGCAGUCGGGAAUUUUGCUCAAUGGGGGAAACCCUGAAGCAGCAACGCCGCGUGAGGGAUGAAGGCCUUCGGGUUGUAAACCUCUUUUGUCAGGGACGAUGAUGACGGUACCUGGCGAAUAAGCCACGGCUAACUACGUG
rnacentral:rRNA from 1 species